UACGUAGGGUGCGAGCGUUAAUCGGAAUUACUGGGCGUAAAGGGUGCGCAGGCGGAUAUAUAAGUUAGAUGUGAAAUACCCGGGCUUAACCUGGGAGGUGCAUUUAAGACUGUAUGUCUAGAGUUUGUCAGAGGGGGGUAGAAUUCCAAGUGUAGCAGUGAAAUGCGUAGAGAUUUGGAGGAAUACCGAUGGCGAAGGCAGCCCCCUGGGAUAGAACUGACGCUCAUGCACGAAAGCGUGGGUAGCAAACAGG
rnacentral:rRNA from 1 species